CAGUAGCCGCGUAAUACGAAGGGGGCUAGCGUUGCUCGGAAUGACUGGGCGUAAAGGGCGCGUAGGCGGUUUUCCAAGUUAGAUGUGAAAUUCCUGGGCUCAACCUGGGGGCUGCAUUUGAUACUGGGAGGCUUGAGUAUGGAAGAGGGUCGUGGAAUUCCCAGUGUAGAGGUGAAAUUCGUAGAUAUUGGGAAGAACACCGGUGGCGAAGGCGGCGACCUGGUCCAUAACUGACGCUGAGGCGCGAAAGCGUGGGGAGCAAACAGGAUUAGAGACCCCGGUAGUCCCUGUCUCUUAUACA
rnacentral:rRNA from 1 species